rnacentral:tRNA from 1 species
GGGUCGAUGCCCGAGCGGUUAAAGGGGACGGACUGUAAAUUCGUUGAUAAUAUAUCUUCGCUGGUUCAAAUCCAGUUCGACCCA